UCUAAGUGGUUGGGAACAAGAAAAGAAGGCUGUAACAGGUGAGGGGACAGAAUUUAGACCAAAGGCAUCUUACUUAAGAUUACUACUGCUGUGAUGAAACACCAUGACCAAAAGCAAAUUGGAGAGAAAGGUUUAUUGGCUUACACUUUCACACCACAGUCCAUCACUGAAGGAAGUCAGGGCAGGAACUUAAGCAGGUCAGGAACCUGGAGGCAGGAGCUGAUGCAUGGGCCAUGGAGGGAUGCUGCUUACUGGCUUACUCCUUCUGGCUUGCUACUUUCUUGUAGAACCCAAGACCACACCCUAAGAGUGGGGUGGACCUCACCCUUCUGCAUUCCACCCACCUCCCAGCCUCACCUGGAUCUGUGGACAGAGUCCAUUCCUAGCCAGCCAUCCUCAACCCUUUGCCCAAGUCUUUGCCAGGAACCCCAGCAGCCUACGACUUCCUGACCACAGCUCCUAUAACCACUGUCCUCUCCAGCACCCACGGUCCCAUCCUCUGGAGGAACAAAAGGGCGGUGACACUCACAGACUGACGGCCCCACCCCCUACCCCGUUUGUUCAUUUUGUUUUUCAAGGUUUCUCUGUGUAGCCCUGGCUGUCCUGAAAGUCGCUCUGUAGACCAGGCUGGCCGUGAACUCAGAGAUCUGCCUACCUCUGCCUCCCAAGAGCUGGGGAUUAAAGGCAUGUGCCACCACUGCCCAUCUAGAUAGCCUUCCCUCUCAAAGGGGGCUUUCUUUUAUUUUUCUAAUAUUCAUUUUAUUUUAUUUAUUUCAUGUUCAUUGGUGUUUUGACUGCAUGAAUGUCUGUGUGAGGGUGUUGAAUCCCUUGGAACUGGAGUUACAGACAGUUGUGAGCUGCCAUAUGGGUGCUGAGAACUGAACCCAGGGCCUCUGGAAGAAUAGCCAGUGCUCUUAACUGCUGAGCCAAUUCUCCAGCCCCAAUCUUUUAUUUUUCUUAGAGUGGAUUUCCUAUGGCCCAGGCUGGCUUCAAACUCACUGCAUAGCCAAGGAUGACUUUGAACCUCGGAAUCUCCUGUCACUCCCUAAAUGCUGAGAUCCCAGAUCCAGAUGUUUCGUUUCCUGCCAGAAUGGAGGGCUGCGUGUGGAGAUGUGGAAUCUGAGCUCCAGGUUCCGUCCCCUCGGAGCCCAGCUGCCCACUGUGGGGAUCAGGCCAACCUGUGGAACCCUCCGCGACUCUGAACAAGAGGCAGUGGCAGUCCUGAUGGCCAGGUCACCUCAGACUGCCCUGUUCCCAGCCGACUCCCAACCCUGCUCUGGCUACUGGGAAAACAGGGGUGGGGUGGGGCAGCCCACACAGCCGCUAUGGGCAGUCAAGGUGCCAAGGUUGCACUUGAGUUCCAAGACCUUGCUGGGAGCCCUCAUGUCCAACAGAGGGCGCGAUGUGCACAGAAAUUUGUCUAUCGGCUCGACCUCCCCUCCCCUCCCUCCAGGCACUCCACUGGUUCAUUCUUUUCUCUUUUAUCCCAGUUCCUCACCCUCACCUAACGCAAUCAUCAUAUAUGUUCCUGUAAGCCAAGUGCAUGCAUUUUUUUUUUUAAUUCUUAGUACUUUUUUGUUUGGUUGGUUGUUUUUUUGCUGUCCUGGGAUUUUUUUGGUUUUUUGUUUGUUUCAAGACAGGCUGUCCUGAAACUGCAAAACCCAGAUGGCCCUUUCCUCUUCUACAGAGCUUACACCAGCUUUCUGAAUUUCCCCACAGCUCUUCCCACCCCUUUUCAAGUGACCUGUGCUUCCCAGUUCUGCCUGGGAGCCCCAGGGUCUAACACUGAAGUGUGGUGUCCCAGGCCUGUAAUCCCAGCACUGUGGAGUCAGAGCAAAAGAUCUCCUUUGAACCAGCCUAAGCUCCAAGUGAGAUUCUGCCGCAAAAAACCAAGGAAUGAAGUAAGCCCUGUGCGGCUCGGCCCUGGUGGGUGGAAGACACCCACAGGCCCGUCUGGCACCUCGGAGUGGACACCAUUACAGAGAGCGAAUCUGUGGUGGAGAAAUGGGAGAGCAGCAGAAGCUGGGCCGUUCGUGUGCCGUGGAGAGACAUGGAACUGGAGAAGCCAAGCGGGGGAGGCACAGGUUGCCAUGGGUGGCCUGCACUGCCACCCGGGGCCAUGGUGACAUCCGGACUCAGGUAGCUGCCAAGGACCAUGUCUGGUCCAUAGUCCCAUAGCUACCGGUAUCUGUGAUGUCCAUGGCCCAUGUUGCCACCAAAGGCCACACAGAUGCCCGGGGUCUGGGCUAUCAUCUGUGGCUGUGUUGGUGUCUGAGGGCUGUGUGGCCACUGAGAUCAUGCAGAUCUGGGUGGCCUGCUCUGCCACUUGGGGCCAUGGUGUCGUCUGAGCCCAAGCUGUUGAGGGCUAUGCCUGGGUCCAUGGUACUGCCAAGACUGGGGUCUGUGUUGGUGUCUGUGGCUCCUGUUGCCACUGAAGGCCCUUCAGAUGCCCGGGGACUGGACCACCACCUGGGGCCAUGUUGCUGCCUGAGGGCUGUGCUGAUCUGAGUGGCCUGUACUGCCACCAAGGGCCAUCCAUGGUGACUUACAGGCCUGAGCUGCUGCUAAAGACCAUGUCUGUAUCCAUGAUCCUACCAGAGCCAGGGUCUGUGUUGAUAUCCAUGGCCCGCAUCGCCACCAAAGGCCACAGAGAUGCUCAGGCCUUAGCCAUGUUGGUGUCGAGGGCUAUUUGACUGUUGGGGCCACGUGACCAUCAGGGACCAUGUGAACCAAGCAUGUUGAAAUCCAAGGGCCAUAUGCUGAGCUCUGGCCCUGCUCCUCACUAGCUGCUGCAGCUGGAGACCCAGCCCCACCCUUCACCACUGGCGUGGUUGAACUGACCCCAAAGGCAUGGGCAUGGGAGAGCUGGCCCUGACCAACUCAGCUAUCACCCAGGCCCACAUCUAUGACCUGGUGGAACAUAAAGGGUCUGGUCCUUUGGGACUGUAGCUGCAGGAUCUCCAAGGCUCAGGGCAAUAGCAGGAUAUCCCAGAGGGUUGGUGAGGGUCCAGUGACGAUGGUGUACCAGAAGCCAGAGGCCUUGAACCAGUCCAACAACUCAUUACACAAUGAACAUUUACAAGUAAAGCUGUUUGAACAAAAGGGUCUACUGCGUGAUACACGGCAGCUCCCAAUGUCACUAAGACAAAUGAAGAGGGAGAGGCAGGAAAGACGGAGGAGCGAAGUAGUUUUUGUUUUGUUAAUUUUUUUUUCUUUUGGGGGAAUGCUACAAGGGUGAAAGGUGGAUAUGGAGG